ensembl:lncRNA
AUGUUUAACUCUGGAAAAUCCGAGCUGACCGCCAUCUUUUUUCCUCGGAGCCGAGCCGUCCAAGCAUCAAACCAAAGGAAGAGAGCAGCAGCUUUGCAGGGACUGCCAUGGUACAUGAAGGAAAAUCCUUCUACAUUGAUGAAGAGAUGUGAGCCAACAGAUCCUGGGGAGGACUUCAUCAAAGGAAUGGUGAUUGGAAUCCUUUUGGUCGUUGAAGAUGUGAAAGAGCCCCUUCCAGUUUCCUACAACGAUGUUGCCAUUGUCAUUGAGGAAAAGAUUGUCAUGCGUCAUCUUGGUGAUGUACCCAACGCUUUUGUGAACCUGAUGGGCCUGCUGUACAUGCUGAACCUUGACUAUCCAAAAGAGAUGAAAUAUACUUUUGAGGUGAUUCAGCGCCUGUUCAUGGGAAUCGGGUCUGAGAUGUGCACUCCCAGGGUCCACUCUCUAAAGAACAAACUGCUCAGUUAGAGGGAUGGCUCAGGAGGAUGUUUCUGCAUUUGGCCAUGAGGAAGUAUUCUAAUUUUCUUGCCAUUUGUCCACUAUGUAGUAAGAGGAAAUAAAUGUAAAGCCCUUCUGUGGGUCA